rnacentral:lncRNA from 1 species
AUUGUUUCAGUAAUUUGUUAACAUGUAUAAUCCUUCCUUCUCUUACUUACAGAAAGAGGUCAAGAUGCGGCAUAGCUUCCAACAGCAAUUAUGCGAUGCACUUGCAAUUCUUAAAGCACACUAUGCAGUAAGUUUUUAAAAUGUAUACUAAUGUGUGGUAACCUUCCAUGGAUACCAAAAUCAAUGGAUUCUCAAGUCCUAUUAGAUGCAAUGGCAUAGUAAAAUCUCAGGAAACUUGGUUAUCUUGAAAUACAACACUCAAAUUCAGACAUAACACAAGGUUCCAAAAUAAACCUCUUGUGAACAUCAACUGUUAUUGUUGUAUUGUGGUUUGAUUGAUUUGAAGCUCUUGGGGCAUCUCCUCAGUGUUUUUUUUUCUUUAACAGAAAUAUUAUCGUAUAGAGCAAGAAUUAUAUGGAGCAGAUGAUGAUUCAAUAGGCAAAAAGCUUGAGAGGUUAAGGGAUGAACUUGAUGAGCAAGCUAUUACAAUCCUAAGCUUGGAAGAAGAGCUGCAGGAGUAUAAAAACAAAGAUAAGUUUGCAGACAGAGACACUGAAAUACACUUGCUUCACCAAGAAAUUGCGGAAUUCAAAGACCAAAUGGCCAUCCUGAGUGCAAGAAACGCACGCCUUCAAGAUACUGUGAAACGCAGAGAGAAAGAAUUUGUUGAAUUAGAGAAUGAAAUGCUAUCUGUGCAAGAGAAAAAAGAAAAAGAUAUGAAGAUAAUUCAAAAGGUACUGUAUUCUUUAUUUAUUUAUUGACAGUGAUGGAUUACCUCGUACAAAGACACUAGAGCCAGGGAGUUAUUCACACACAUAAUGAAAAAGAGCGGCCCUUCCAACUGCCUAGAGACCUUUGAGCUAAUUUUUGCAUAGCUCAUCAGUCCCCUCGGGGAGAUAGGUGCAGGUAUAUAAAUAAAGUUGUUGUUGUUAUUAUUAUUAUUAUUAUUAUUAUUAUUAUUAUUAUUAUUAUUUUAUUAUGACACAGCAAACAAGAUAGAUAUGCUGGAUUUCAUAUCACAAAAUCACAAGUCGAACACUUCCCAGGUGUCUAGGACUGUGGGAUGUAUUUUCGGAUGAUGCGUGCAGAUCCCAGUAGGGUGGCCUUUUGCAGUUGGCAGAUCGUAAUUUUGUCAAUGUCUAUUGUUUCCAAAUGCCGGCUGAGAUCUUUUGGCACGGCACCCAGUAUGCCCAUCACCACCGGGACGACCUGCACUGGUUUCUGCCAGAGUCUUUGAAGUUCAAUCUUGAGGUCCUGAUAGCGGCUGAGUU